rnacentral:rRNA from 1 species
UACGUAGGGUCCGAGCGUUAAUCGGAAUUACUGGGCGUAAAGCGCUUGUAGGCGGCACGUCAAGUCGCGUGUGAAAUCCCCAGGCUUAACCUGGGAAGUGCGCGCGAAACUGACGAGCUUGAGUGCCGGAGAGGGUCGCGGAAUUCCCGGUGUAGAGGUGAAAUUCGUAGAUAUCGGGAGGAACACCAGUGGCGAAGGCGGCGACCUGGACGGACACUGACGCUGAGACGCGAAAGCGUGGGGAGCAAACAGG